AGUGAACGCUGGCGGUAGGCCUAACACAUGCAAGUCGAACGGCAGCACAGUAAGAGCUUGCUCUUACGGGUGGCGAGUGGCGGACGGGUGAGGAAUACAUAGGCAUCUACUUUUUCGUGGGGGAUAACGGAGGGACACUUACGCUAAUACCGCAUACGACCUACGGGUGAAAGCAGGGGAUCUUCGGACCUUGCGCGAUUGAAUGAGACGAUGUCGGAUUAGCUAGUUGGCGGGGUAAAGGCCCACCAAGGCGACGAUCCGUAGCUGGUCUGAGAGGAUGAUCAGCCACACUGGAACUGAGACACGGUCCAGACUCCUACGGGAGGCAGCAGUGGGGAAUAUUGGACAAUGGGCGCAAGCCUGAUCCAGCCAUACCGCGUGGGUGAAGAAGGCCUUCGGGUUGUAAAGCCCUUUUGUUGGGAAAGAAAAGCAGCAGGUUAAUACCCCGCUGUUCUGACGGUACCCAAAGAAUAAGCACCGGCUAACUUCGUG
rnacentral:rRNA from 1 species